GGCGUCUCUCGCUGCUAUACCCCAAUCUUGUAGUGUGAAUUGUUCGUUGUCAUGCUUUAUGACCUAUUGAACUGGAUUUACGAGGAGUUAACCGUAAGAUGACCAGUUUGCUGAAUUAGUUGAGCGGGAAUUUUGAGAUUACAUUCACUCGCUCAGCUGUCACGAGAGCUUCUAAACAAGCGGAGGGAGUGAGAAUCCAAUCUUGGUGUUUUUACGAAAUUUCAUGCGGAGCUGACAAUUUAUGUGAAUAUUGCCGUCCUUGGAUACCAGAGUGUCACUUCAGAUGCAAGUCUAGCGAAAAAAUCCUAGAGAUUUUAUCAGUACAACUUUUCAAAUCACUCACAUUACUGUGCUCAGAAGAUCCAAAGUUUAACGAAGUAGUACAACAUUAAUGUUGGAUUUUACUGAAGACAACUUGCCAC